rnacentral:rRNA from 1 species
GAUGAACGCUGGCGGCGUGCCUAAUACAUGCCAGUCGAGCGAACAGACGAGGAGCUUGCUCCUCUGACGUUAGCGGCGGACGGGUGAGUAACACGUGGAUAACCUACCUAUAAGACUGGGAUAACUUCGGGAAACCGGAGCUAAUACCGGAUAACAUGUUGAACCGCAUGGUUCAACAGUGAAAGACGGUCUUGCUGUCACUUAUAGAUGGAUCCGCGCCGCAUUAGCUAGUUGGUAAGGUAACGGCUUACCAAGGCAACGAUGCGUAGCCGACCUGAGAGGGUGAUCGGCCGCACUGGAACUGAGACACGGUCCAGACUCCUACGGGAGGCAGCAGUAGGGAAUCUUCCGCAAUGGGCGAAAGCCUGACGGAGCAACGCCGCGUGAGUGAAGAAGGUCUUCGGAUCGUAAAACUCUGUUAUUAGGGAAGAACAAAUGUGUAAGUAACUAUGCACGUCUUGACGGUACCUAAUCAGAAAGCCACGGCUAACUACGUG